CUCUCUGCUGGGUCCUUGCUACUCAAAGUGUGUGGUCCUCAGACAGGAAGCACGCAGGUCACUGGGGAGCUUGUUAAAGGACUCUCCACACCCACUGAGACCUGCUGAAUCAGGCUAUUUCAGAUGAAUCAUCUCCUUGAGUUCUCAGAGCCGGCUUAUGACAUAGAUAGGAUGGGAAUUAUCACCAUGGAAAUUUUUGUAGUAUAUGUUUUCUAAAAUCGGUCUUUUGCUUUUAAUUGUAGUUUCUUCUUCACUUUAGCCAUUUCCAGGAGCUCAGAAGCAAUUUCCGUGUUCACAGCUCUUCUUGGGUGGUUCACUCUGAUGAGCUGAGCUGCCAUGUUGCCAGCUGCUCUGUGGAAAUUCCUGCACAUCAAGGCAUUGAAUGCAGCCUUCAGCCAACAGCCAGUGCAAGAACUCAUAAGGAACUGAAUCCUGCCAACAGCCACUGAAUGAGCUUCGAAGCAGAUCGACCCCUCUCUUGAGCCCAGAGAUGACUUUAGCCCUGGCGGACGCUUUGAUUGCAGCCUGAGAGAGACCCAGAGUCAGAGGACCCAGAACAACUCCAGACUAUGAAAGAAAAGGCUGAGAGCUGAUUGAGAAGUUGAAGGGUUUCUUCAGAGUGAGAGCUGCAUCUUUUCCUGUGAUUCCCACCCCUCACCUCUAUGGAGAAGACAUCCUUCCCCUUUACUUGGGCUAGUUGGGAACAUGGAGUGAAGGGCUCACAGACCUGGUACAAGGAGUUACAACAGACACUCGGAGGAACUGAAGUGGCUUCCUGCACUCCUUCCGGCCUGAAACUUCCUUUGUUCCUGUAAUCUCAAAACAGCUGUUUCCUCUGGAAUCACAAACCCCAGCUGGCAGAGCCUCUGCCUCCUGGAUCCUGCUGCACAUAAUACUGUUAAUGAUUCCAGAGGGAAACUUCUAGAAACAACGUGAGAGAUUAUCGCUGUUAACUCUCUAAACAAGGUGCUGCGCUGAAGGUAGAGUGUUGAACCCGGUUCCUUUUCUCGGUUGGGCAGGGUCAAAGUGCCAACAGUGAAGAAUCCAGUCUGGGAAAUCACAGUGCCAGUUAUACCUGCAGUCAUGGAAAAGGAUGACAACAAGGAGACACAGAGAUUUUUGAGUUUGAAGUACCUUUUCAGACACCUGCAGAUUCAACUGGAGGCCGUGGGUUCACAACGAUGCUGCUUUUUCAUCUGCUCUGAACUUGCUCUUACACAGGCGUUGAUAAAAACAGGGCAUACAGGAAAUAACAUGGAUUUAGGAACCUUGCAGACCUGGUUUGUGACAUAUAUGUCAACUCUGUUGUCUUAUGCAAUUUACUUGACUUGUGUGAGCCUCGCUUUUUAUUGGCAAGUGAAGAUCAUAACCUAGUUUGCUUUGCUGCUAUGAGGGUUGAAUGUCUCAAAAAAUACAAUGUUCCCAAUACAGUGUAAUAUCCUUGUUCUUGUCUCACUUUCCAUAGAGAGAGGAAACUCCCCUGCUGGACCCCCCCCAGAGGCACCAAUGGGUUUUCUACAGAUCUCAAUAUAACCCAACUUUCUCUUAUUUCCAUAGUUACUUACCUUUUCCACAAGUACAUCCUUCUCUUGGGUUACUGGCAUUUUGAAAAUAGGCUAUUCCAAGAUGCAUUUCCCUUUCCUGUACUUGAAGUGGUCCUAAUCCACACCAAAG